UCCCUGGUGGCUCAGUGGUAAAGAACCUGCCUGCAAUGCAGGAGACCCAGGUUCGAUCCCUGGGUCGGGAA
rnacentral:tRNA from 1 species